UACGAAGGGGGGCUAGCGUUGCUCGGAAUCACUGGGCGUAAAGCGCACGUAGGCGGAUCUUUAAGUCAGGGGGUGAAAUCCUGGAGCUCAACUCCAGAACUGCCUUUGAUACUGGGGAUCUCGAGUCCGGAAGAGGUGAGUGGAACUCCGAGUGUAGAGGUGAAAUUCGUAGAUAUUCGGAAGAACACCAGUGGCGAAGGCGGGUCUCUGGACAGUUCCUGACGCUGAGGCACGAAGGUCAGGGGAGCAAACGGG
rnacentral:rRNA from 1 species